AGCAAUUCCAUCUGUUUCUAAAGAAAAAACCAGACUUAAACAAAAAAUUUGAUCUCCAACAACAGGACUCAAGACAAGUAGAAAAAGUGCUACAGAAUAAAUGAAGUUCAAAAUACUGUGAUUCCUGGAGCCAAAAAGAAGCUACUGAACACCUGAGAUGAAGAACACCUGAGAAAGCAGAAAGAACUGAGCCAUUUGGUCGAGAUUGGGAGUUUGGCAUCGAGUUCCCAGGAACUUCUGGGGAAGAAAGGAAGCAUUUAUUUUAGCCUGCAUCAAUACAAUUUAAUUUGGAAGCUUGUCCUUUACAGCAUUUCAAUAAAGCCAACUAGAUUUUAAACUAA